UACGUAGGUGGCAAGCGUUGUCCGGAAUUAUUGGGCGUAAAGCGCGCGCAGGCGGUCCUUUAAGUCUGAUGUGAAAGCCCACGGCUCAACCGUGGAGGGUCAUUGGAAACUGGGGGACUUGAGUGCAGGAGAGAAGAGUGGAAUUCCACGUGUAGCGGUGAAAUGCGCAGAUAUCAGGAAGAACACCCGUGGCGAAGGCGGCUCUCUGGGACGGUACUGACGCUGAGACGCGAAAGCGUGGGGAGCGAACAGG
rnacentral:rRNA from 1 species